CACACACACUAAGUAUAAUCCUGUGACCACAUAGAAAAGGAUGAUUUAUGUGUGAGGGGUAUCGCCCUUCGCCGCGAUAAAAACAAAUAAGCACUCCGGCCUGGGGGAGUACGCCGCAAGUUGAAACUCCAAAGAAUGACGGGGCCCGCCCAGCAGCGGAGCAUGUGGUUAAUCGACGCAACGCGAGACUACAGGUCUUGACAUCCAGUAAACUGUAGAGAUACAUCGUGUCUCGGACAUACUGAGACAGGUGGUGCAUGGUGUCGUCAGCUCGUGUCGUGAGAUGUUGGGUUAAGUCCCGCAACGAGCGCAACCCUUAUUUUCAGUUACUAACAGGUAAAGCUGAGGACUCUGAAGAGACUGCCGGGGACAACUCGGAGGAAGGUGGGGAUGACGUCAAAUCAUCAUGCCCCUUAUGACCGGGGCUACACACGUGCUACAAUGGCGUAAACAGAGGGAAGCGAAGCGGUGACGUGGAGCGAAUCCCAAAAAUAACGUAACAGUUCGGAUUGAAGUCUGCAACCCGACUUCAUGAAGCUGGAAUCGCUAGUAAUCGCAGAUCAGAACGAUGCGGUGAAUACGUUCCCGGGUCUUGUACACACCGCCCGUCACACCAUGGGAGUCGGAAAUGCCCGAAGUCCGUGACCUAACCGUAAGGAAGGAGCGGCCGAAGGCAGGUCUGAUGACUGGGGUG
rnacentral:rRNA from 1 species